UCCCAGACUCCUACGGGAGGCAGCAGUAAGGGAUAUUGCACAAUGGGGGAAACCCUGAUGCAGCGACGCCGCGUGAGUGAAGAAGUAAUUCGUUACGUAAAGCUCUCUCAGCAGGGAAGAGAAUGACGGUACCUGAGUAAGAAGCCCCGGCUAACUACGUGCCAGCAGCCGCGGUAAUACGUAGGGGGCAAGCGUUAUCCGGAUUUACUGGGUGUAAAGGGAGCGUAGACGGCUAUGCAAGUCUGGAGUGAAAGGCGGGGGCCCAACCCCCGGACUGCUCUGGAAACUGUAGAGCUAGAGUGCAGGAGAGGUAAGUGGAAUUCCUAGUGUAGCGGUGAAAUGCGUAGAUAUCAGGAGGAACAUCGGUGGCGUAAGCGCUUUACUGGGCCGUAAUUGACACUGAGGAACGAAAGCCAGGGUAGCAAAUGGGAUUAGAUACCCGAGUAUG
rnacentral:rRNA from 1 species